GACAGAGGGUGCAAACGUUGUUCGGAAUUACUGGGCGUAAAGAGCGUGUAGGCGGCCAUGCAGGUCCGUUGUGAAAACUCGAGGCUCAACCUCGAGACGUCGAUGGAAACCGCAUGGCUAGAGUCCGGAAGAGGAGAGUGGAACUCCUGGUGUAGCGGUGAAAUGCGCAGAUAUCAGGAAGAACACCCGUGGCGAAGGCGGCUCUCUGGGACGGUACUGACGCUGAGACGCGAAAGCGUGGGGAGCGAACAGG
rnacentral:rRNA from 1 species